UACGUAGGGGGCUAGCGUUGUCCGGAAUCAUUGGGCGUAAAGAGCUCGUAGGCGGUUUGUCGCGUCUGCCGUGAAAGUCCGGGGCUCAACUCCGGAUCUGCGGUGGGUACGGGCAGACUAGAGUGAUGUAGGGGAGACUGGAAUUCCUGGUGUAGCGGUGAAAUGCGCAGAUAUCAGGAGGAACACCAGCGGCGAAGGCGGCGCUCUGGGCCGGUACUGACGCUGAGGAGCGAAAGCGUGGGGAUCAAACAGG
rnacentral:rRNA from 1 species